rnacentral:lncRNA from 1 species
UCUGUUCAUCACAGAUACCAUUAGUUUGCCUACUCGAAGCAUGGUGACACAUUCAUCUAUCUUCAAUAUAUCCUUCUCCAUACAACACGGCUUUAGUUUAAAUGCGGUAAAACGAUGAAAAUGAUGCCGAGUGUGACACAAUAUGCAAAUCUACCUGUGCUCAAACCGCCUGAUAAUCGCCUCAUCAAGGUCAAAUGGCCUGUUGGUUGCAGCAAGAACGAGGACUCGUUCACCAGCUUUUGUCAGUAGUCCAUCCCAAUGUGUCAUGAACUCAUUCUUAAUCUGUCGCAUAGCAUAAUGCUCUCCAACUUCGGUCCGCUGCCCAAGCAAACUGUCAGCCUCAUCCACAAAAAUAAUAGUUGGGGAGAUCUUUGCUGCGAGUGUGAACAGAGCUCGAACAUUCUUCUCAACUUCACCAAACCAUUUUGAAGUGACGGUGGACAUUGAGACAUUGAUGAAGCGUGCUCCAGCUUCAUUGGCAAUGGCCUUUGCCAGCAUAGUUUUUCCAUUACCAGGAGGUCCGAAGAGUAAUAUCCCCCUGCAAGGCUUCAGAAGCCCACCCUUGAAGAGGUCUGGCCUCUGAAGAGGGAGCAUAACCAGCUCCUGAAGAGAUUCUUUAAUGUCAUCCAAGGCACCAAUGUCCUCAAAUGCCACUCCUAUCUGAUUUGCUGGGAUAACCUCUGGCCUUAUACGCCUCUCAAAUUCAUUGUAAGGUGGAACCAACUGUAGCGAAACAAUUAAAAGAGUAAGGGAAUAUCGGAAAAUUUUCUUAGUAAAAUUUUCUUCAACAAAAAGGGGAAAACAAAUGCAAGGGAACCUCCUUACAGUAUGCACCAAAGAAAUCUACAAAAUCUGCAUCAUCUUCUCUUUACUUUGUUGUUUAACUUUCAGAAGAAAGUGGCAUUUGGGACAUGCCAAGCAUCUCAAAGAAAUCUUGUGGGUGAAUACCCACAAGAUCCAGUAGGAAACAGAAGCAGCAUACAAAUAAAACACAUUGAUACAGUUAAGACUCAAGUCAAUGUCAAGGUGAAAAACAAACCUUAGAAGAUUCAGCAUUUGUCUUUCGUGUGUCUUCCUUGAAUAUACUCAAUCCAUGGGACAAACUGUACCAGGGCCACAAUUGUAGUUAUAUAGAACUUUGUCUACAAUAAGAAGCUAAAAGACACAAGCAUGCAAGCAAUUGUAUCUACCUCUUGGAAGAUAUGACAAGCUUUCCAUUUCGGUAUUCUGGAUUUUUGUUAUGCAUCAAAUGAUAAGAUAGUGCAGAUAUUACAAUCUCUUCUAUGUGGUCACUUAGAAUCAUGGAGUCUGCAUGGCAGAUUGAACCCAAAUUAUCACAGCCAAUAUCAUUUGCUGCAAGCACCUCAGCAAUAUGAUUUUUGUUUUCCUGAAACUGGAUCAUCUCUCUCUCCUUUUCCAGUUGGGCUUCCCAGAUAUCAAGACAAGUCUCAUCCUCGGGCUCCUUGAUUUCAAUAUUGUAAGGGAAUAAGAGACUCACCCUUUCAUCCAUUUCUUCGUCCUCGUCAUCAGGGUCUAGCAUGCGGGAACCAAGUAUCAGAACUGAUCCUGAUAAUCUACCCAACAUUUUCUGGAACAAUUUGUAUAAUCUUUCUGAUUGGAGAAGAAGCUUCUCGACAUCCCUGAGGUAUAAAAUAAUGGGACAUGUUUCUGAUACUGAAUCCAAGACCUGUUAGUAAUAUAACACAUCAUCAAAACAAGAUCAAGCAUGAAUGUGAUAGCUAGGACUCUCAGACUUAGAACAGAAAACCGAUUCCUCAUAGAUUACCUUGUAAAGUGACUGCAAAAGUUGCUUCUCAUCAAAAGCCCAGUUGCUUGUGCGCUUGAAAUGAGCUACAAAAGAAAUGAGCAGCAGUAAGAAUAACAUCUACUUCCAGAGAAGAAAUGUCAAAAAGACAGUGAUCAAAGGAAUAAGAGGGACAAAACAAAUUCUCUCGGAACAUGAAUUCAUAGCAUCCGAUGUUCUCUUCUUAGGACAAAACUAGUAACCUGAACUUGUAGUAACACGUUGAGAAGCAACAGUGUUCUUUGUAUUAGAUGGAGUAGAAGCAUUGCUACCAUGCUUUGGAGGAUUCAUACAUCUGCAAAUGUGUAUAGGUGUAGGUUUAGAAGUAAUGCAUGAGAGACUUAAUACCUAAAUAGACAAUUAACCAUUGAAGCCCAAUUGUUUGGGGCCAGUAGAACUAAUUAAGAGUACAAGUGGCCUACCAUACCUUGAUUUAAUAUGGGCACCACUGCUUUGCCUAGACAAUGUGCCUGCAUUAGAAGUCCUGACCCGAGCUAAGUUGCGGAUAAAAUAAAAUCAACAAAAAGUUAAAAAGAACAAGACAGCAAAGAAAAUCAGAAGGCGUGAGUUGAAGUUGGUUCAAAGAAUGUAAUGUCUGGAUCAACUAAGAUGGUGUAGUAUAUCAAGACUAAUGAUCAAUGCUAACAACAAAAUUAAGCAUCUUUAAGAGCAUAGUUAUUCCUCCUCUCCCUAAUAACAAAAUAUUAUGAACUCUAUGGAAAUUGUUAGGGCUUUAGCACCAAGUGUAAAAUAUUGACACGACAUACACAUUAAACUAGCUUUGGGAUCAAUUGGUCACCUAACAUGGCAUUAGAACCUUUGGUUUCCAAGAGGUUAUUAUUGUAACCACUCUUUAUUUCUCCAUUUAUUAAGCCUAUGUGCAAAACUAAAAAAGACUGCCUAGGACGUAAGAGGUAUCAUAGAUUAACCCAAAUAUAAGUUGGCAUGAAAUACAUAGUUGGCACGUUACCUAAUAGUUUAAACAUUUAGGUCAAUUGGUAGUGCCAUGAUUUAUGGAAGGUUUUGGAUCAGGUUUUGACAAUUUCAUUUGAAAACUAAUUGAUGGUCACUAGGGUAGGUCAAAUCUUUUAUGACAUUCGACAUCACAUCCUAUGGGCUUAUUCUAAGAGUCAUCAUUUAGGUGACUCAUUUUCAAGCUUAAGAGUGACAUUGUUACACCCCAACAAUCCCUCCCUCAACAUGACACUCUUGUAACUCGAAUUCAUGACCCUGACUCUGACUCUGAUAUCAAUUUUUGGAUAGAACUUUUGACUAUCUCAUCUGAAAACCAAUUAGUGGUCAAUGAAAGUAGGUCAAACCUUUGAUGAUAUUUAACAUCACACCCUAUGGGUCUAUUUUAAGAUUCAUCAUUUGGGUGUUUCAUCCUUGAACUUAAGAGUAACAUUGUUGCACCCCGAUAGAAGAUAAUAUGUUUGAACCUUGCCAAUGUUUAUUUCUUCAUUAAUUAGGCCCAAUUGCAAGCCCAAUAAAGAAUUCAGGUGACAGGGUAGUAAGGUCUUUAGCCUAAGUUUAAGUUGGCACUAGUACACGUAGUUUGCCGAAAAGCUUUAGCUUUGAGGUCAAUUGCUAGCCACAAAAAGUUAAAACACUAAAAGAAAAAUCACUAGGCACUCUACAAACCACAAGUUAUACAACUUGAUUCUUAUGAACAUUAAGGAGUUGGUAUUCUGUUGAUAGUACCUUUGGUUUCUUCUUCUUCACUCUGGAGAAGGAUUGAGAAAGAGCCAAGAAAACCAGACAUCGGCCCCAGUGUCACCUCUGAGAUGGACUUCUUGGAAGACUACAAAAAGAAAACUAAAUGAGAGCGGAAAUCUUCUUGGAUGGAAAGGCAUUUUUAUUCACCAAGAAAAGAAACAUGCUUACAGAUUCUCUUUUGGGGCUUCCAUAUUUGCUCUGCAUCUGAGAAAUGACAAUCAUAGCAGCAAGAUUUAGCGAUAUAUACAGUAUGAAAAGCUAAAUUUAAGGAAGAUUGAGUCUCUACAUAUUAAUUUCACCUUCAGAGAAAAGUCAUUAAGGUCCAACAGCAGCAACUUUGCUUGGAAGAAAUGAGCUAGAGCUUUGGCGAGUGUUUGCUGGUACAGUUCUGCAAAGGCAACCAAGUUAAUUAGGCCAUUGAAAGGACUCAGAACCAUAGUUAAAUAUCCAAAUGCAGGGUCAGAUCACAUAGUCCAGACGGCAUACCAGCAGGUCCUGAGAGCAAAAUAGCUCUGCUUGCAGGCGUAAGGUUUCGGGUGUGCUUAGAAAAGUCAGACUGCCUUAGAUGGAAAUGUGCAGCACUUGUCAGUAACACUCUUGUCUGCUUACUGUCAUGGCCAUUGACAACUACAUUAGUUUGUGUAAAUAUCAAUAUUACAUAUGGAAGUAAUAAAUCAUUACGCACCUGAGGAAAUAAGGAAACUUGUCGAAGGUGAUCUUGCUUUCCCUUCCAUCCAUGACCUGUCGCCGUAGCUCAUGCUCAAUCUGCUCUUCUGUAAUUGCGUCCGGCCAGAGUUUCAGCCCCGUCCAUCGACACACUGUCUGUCCAGAAGCCAAACCAAGGCCAACCGAGACGCCCACCCCAACGAUCAAGGCAGACAACAAUAUGUGCUUCUGUUCCAUCACUUGAGGCCUCCACCAGGAAACUAUGCGCGCGGCUCCUCCAUCCAACCUUAACACACAAACAAACAGAAAACAAACAACAGUCGUGUAUACUCUUGCCCACUGAUCACACUAAAACAAGCAUACAACACAAACCCAUCAACCAAAGGCCUGUUAUCCAAUCAGAAAAUGAUUUCUUUCCUGAAAAACUUCAUCCCCAACACAUUUGUUUUCACACCAGAUAAGUGGCAUACUAUUACAACUCAACACACCCACCCUAGAAACAUGACCUCACAGACAUUCAUAAUUUCAUAUAUACCAAGAAGAAUUGAGACUCAACAAAAGACCCACCAACAAGCACGUUGAUGAAGAAACUUCUCACUAGAAAAGUGUAGAGGUUUGGACACAGAAAUGUAUGAAUCUCUGUUUGGACAGGUUUAUAACUGCGAAUGUGGCUGUGUUCUUUGUUCUUCCGGGGCUACUUAUAUAUAUAUUUUUUCAUUUUUGUUUUUUAGCAUGGUUUUGAAAGUGGGACAGAUCGGAUUAAGCGCCCUUUUCCCCUCUCCUGCAUGUCAGUGCACUCCUCCCAACGUUUGAAACUGCCAUUUUUUAUUUUAGGACAUGAUUUGUAAUAGUAAAUUUAGACUCUACUGAAAAUUUAAGCCAUGCCGACAUCAAAUAUUUGUAUAUAUGCCGACAUCAAAUAUUAAUAUAUGGAUAGAUAGUGUUGGUGUGAUCUUGUAAGUGCGGUUGGGCAGUGACCAGGUCGACACCGAAAUACAUGACGAGUGGAUAGCGUUAGGAUGUGUUUGAUUGCACGAAAGAACCAAAGAUCUUAAGUGCAUAUCAUUUUAGGAAAAAUUAAAAUACGAAUGACGACAAACCAUAACACAUCAAAGAAUUCAAAAUUCUAACCAUAGUAAGCUUUGAUUUAAGUAAUUUUUUUAGUUUUAGUCUCCUCUCUAGUGGGUAUUCUAACACGAUAAUGAAUGACAAAUGGAAAAUCCUCUCAAACAAUACUUUUGCCCUAUGCUUGAUUUUUGGAAAAUAGAAAAAAAAAAAAUUAAUUAUUUUUUACAUUUUUUUUAAUUUAGUUUAUUUAUUUUUCUUUUUUAUAUUAAAAUUAUAUAAUUUUAAAUUUUUAACUAAUUUUAAUUAUAUUUUAUUUUAUUUUUAUAUUUCACUGGAUAAAUCAAAUUUAAGAAUAUUAUUAUUAUUUUUCACACCAAAUGUAAUCUGAAUCAUUUGAUUUCAUAAUUGUAUCAUUUUUAUGGUGAAAAUAAUAGUUGUUCUAAUUUUUUAAACCCCCAACUCUCAUCUCUAGUGCAUUGAGAAUCACUUCUAAAAAUUUAAAUUGAGAGAAUCAUUUGAAAUGAUUCAUUUAGAAAAAAAGGAACAAAAGCCAUUGCUCCCCGGAGCCACUCACACCCCUCCGUAGGCCCACAGUCUGUCCAGAAGCAUACCGAAGCCCAAUCGAAACACCCACCACGCUCAACGCAGACAACAAAAAGUGCUUCGGUCCCAUCUCCCUUUAGGCCUCCACCAACAAACUACACACAAACAAACAGAAAAACGAAGCUCAAUCCCAAGAACCAAACACACAAACAAGCAGUGUUGAUGGCAGAAUGUGAUUGAAAACUCAGAGAAAUUUGGAAAAUACUGAGAAGGGUCUUCUGGGGUUCGAAUUUAGAGCCUACCCUUUUCGUAUGGUACGAGUUUGGACGCAGAAAUGGCAUCAAUCUCUGCCUCCUUCGCUCUUUCUUCUCUCACUUCUCUGUUCUUCGAGGGCUACUUAUAACGGUGCAUUGUUUUGUUUUGUUCUGCUUUGCUACUUUGUUUUGUUUUAUUAUUAUUAAGAUAUAUUUAAAAAUAUAGAAUGCAGUGUGGGGACAUUCCAAGCUCCAACUACGCUUGGAAAAAACUAUUUUUGAAAACAUUUUCCAAACAACCUCUCACUUUCUGCAAAUCCAUUGGCAUCUCCAAGUAGCAAACAUUUACAAAAACAUUACUAACAAAUACCCAGAAACUGGUGGCAGUUUGUUUAUAUUUUCUAGAAUGGCCUGUUAAUAAAUACUGACAACUCCCCUCUAAGAAUGAUAUACACAAGCAAAGGAACCAAUAUGAAGGAUUAUUCAAGCUUCUCUGGGUUGUCCAGAUUUCCUUGCCCAUCUCACUCUACAGCUUUCAAUUCAAUGUUGCAUGCCCAUAUCUAGCUGGUUUCAGGUGAAGGGCUUUCUGGCUUCCCAAACUUCCUAUAAGAUGUGCCCUAUAGAAAGUAGGUCAGCUGUUCCUUCUUCCUUGAGCCGCCUUCUCCAUACAAUUCAUUCCACUGCUUCAGCUUGUUCAUUGCCGCUCCAUCAGAAGCAAAACUAGCAGCAACCUGAUUCUUUGCCUGCCUCAUGUCUUCCAUGUUUAAGGGUCUCAGAACAAUUACCCUUUCCCCUUUGGCUUCUUCUCUGGUAUCCGAAGCAUCCUCUGAGCUUUUUCCUUCAUCAGCUUUCUGCUUCUUUUUCUGUGAAAAGAAAAAUCAGAAAAAACACCAUUGAUCUACUGUGGAAAACUUGUUGGAAAAAGCGAGAAGGAAGAAAACGAUACUUGGAAGAGUUAAGAGAGUUCUUACUUUAUCCUUCUUCAUUCUCUCUUGUUGUGCUAGCUCCCUUACAGGACGAUAAGCUGCUGCCAUGCACAAGUUCUGUUUCAAUUGUUAAUCCCAAGAGUCAACACAGCUGAUUCUUAAUCAAUUCAUCAUUGCCAUCAGAAGUACAAACCUUAAGAUCACUUCCAGUAUAACCUUCUGUCAUGGUUGCAAGCUCCUUAAAGUCAAGAUCCUCGGCUUGUUCUUUAGCCAAGAGAGUCUUCAGGAUCAUCUCUCUGCUCUCCACAGAUGGUAGACCAACCAUAAUUCUGUUCAUCACAGAUACCAUUAGUUUGCCUACUCAAAGCAUGGUGACACAUUCAUCUAUCUUUAAUAUAUCCUUCUCCAUAGCUUCAGAGUAAAACGAUGAAAAUGAUGCUGAGUGUAACACAAUAUGCAAAUCUACCUGUGGUCAAACCGCCUGAUAAUCGCCUCAUCAAGGUCAAAUGGCCUGUUGGUUGCAGCAAGAACGAGGACUCGUUCACCAGCUUUUGUCAGUAGUCCAUCCCAAUGUGUCAUGAAUUCAUUCUUAAUCUUUCGCAUACUACAAUCCUCUCCAAAUUCAAGUCGCUGCCCAAGCAUGCUAUCAA